AGUUUUAAAUAACGCGAACAGUGAAUGCCUUGGUCUUAUUCACCGAAGAAGGACGUACAUAGCCACGAUAGUCGUUGGGGAGCUGCUACGAAGCUUUGAUCCAGCGGUGUCCGAAUGGGGCAACCUACACAUUUAGUGUGAUCUUCCACCAAAUAAUUUUCUUUAUGUUAAUUUAGUAAUGGGAGAUACGGGAACCACCUGAACUGAAACAUCUAAGUAAGGUGAGGAAGAGAAAUCAAGAGAGAUUGCCUUAGUAGCGGCGAGCGAAACGGCAACAGCCUAAACCGAGCUUUACUCCGCAAGGAGUAUCGCAAGGGGUUGCAGGACUUCAAUGUGGGAUGAAUUCAAAGUAGUGGAACGGCUCGGAAUAGCCGGCCAAAGGGAGUGAAAGCCUCGUACACGAAACAAUGAAUUCCCCUAGAAGUAUCCUAAGUACCAUGAAGCACAUACUUUGUGGGAAUCCGGGAGAACCAUCUCCCAAGGCUAAAUAUGAAUAAGGACCGAUAGUGAACUAGUACAGUGAUGGAAAGGUUAAAAGAAGAGUGAGACACUCAGUGAAAUAGAACUUGAAACUGUUCGCGGACAAACCGAGAGAGCACCGCAAGGUGUGAUCUCGUGCCUAUUGAAGAAUGAACCGGCGAGUUGAUCUAAUUAUCUAGUCUAACCUGUUAAAGGGAAGGCGCAGGGAAACCAAGUCUGAAUAGGGCGAAAAUAAGGUAAUUGGGUCAGACCCGAAACCAGGUGAUCUAACCAUGAGCAGGGUGAACCUUCCUUAAUUGGAAGUGGGAGGCCCGCACCCGUCUGGGUUGCAAUCCGGUGGGAUGACUUGUGGUUAGUGGCAAAAUACCAAUCGAACCUGGAGAUAGCUGGUUCUCCCCGAAAGGUCUAUAGGGACCGUGGCUAUUAAAACUUUAGAAGAGGUAGAGCACCGAAUGGGUGUGAGAGCGCAAGCGAUUACAUUCAACCGAACUCCGAAUUAUUCUAAAGUAAAAGUAGCUAGACAGUCGCAUCGGGCUAAGCUGAUGCGGCGAAAGGGAAACAUCCCAGAUUCUCGUCUAAGGCCUCUAAAUCUAUAUUAAGUUUGAAAGGAAGUUCUUUCUCUCAGACAGCCAGGAGGUUGGCUCAGAAGCAGCCACCCUUUAAAGAUAGCGUAACAGCUCACUGGUCGAUGAGAGGGGGCGCCUAAGAUUUAUCGAGGAUAAGUUACGUGCCGAAGCUAGAGAUUUUACAUCCAAUUUAUUGGGUGUGGAGUGGUAGGGGAGCGUUCCAACCGCAGUGAAGGUGAACCGGAAGGUUUGCUGGAGCGGUUGGGAGUGAGAAUGUCGGCUUGAGUAGCGCACAAGAAAGGUGAGAAUCCUUUCCGUUGAAUGUCCAAGGUUUCCACUGCAAGAUUCGUUCUCAGUGGGUUAAUCGGUACCUAAGGCGAGGCCAAAUGGCGUAGUCGAUGGAUAAUUGGUCAAAAUUCCAAUAUUUAUACUAAAUCGUUAUUAACUAGGGAUUGACUGAACAGGAGUUUGGGAGCUCUUUAUUGAAUUAGAGUGCAGAAGCUGAAGCAGUUCUGGCUGGAAAAUCCGUCAGAAUGUUUAACUAAAGUGGUGCAAAGUUCUCCGCGAGGAGGGCGAUUCCAAAAUUUUCAGUUUACGAGAAAAGAUUCGUAGUGAGAGUUAGUAUAAGCCGUACCGCAAACCGACACAGGUGGACUGGGGGAGUACCCUAAAACGAUCGAGAGACAAAUCCUCAAGGAACUCGGCAAAAAAACUACCCGUAACUUAGGAAGAUGGGUUGCCUUGGUUAAAAACAAGGCUGCAACUAAAGUUUAUUGGUCGACUGUUUAUCAAAAACACAGGCCCGUGCAAAGGCGAAAGCUGAAGUAUACGGGCUGACGCUUGUCCAGUGCCGGUAAGUUAAGAGGAGAGGUGCUAGCCGCAAGGUUAAUGCUUCGAAUUUAAGCUCCGGUGAACGGCAGCAGUAACUAUAACUGUUCUAAGGUAGCGAAGUUCCUUGCCAGGUAAGUUCUGGCCCGCAUGAAUAGCGUAACGAGCUAAUAACUGUCUUGAGGGUUUACUCGGCGAAAUAGCGAUGGCUGUGAAGACGCGGCCUACUUCUACAUGGACAAAAAGACCCCGUGGAGCUUUACUGUAGGUAGAUAUUGCUUUCAUAUUUUUUGAUUGUCUAGUAUAGGUGGGAGCCGCAAGGCAAAAAUGUAAUACCACUCGUCGGAGAAUGUGAGGCUUACUUAAUUCCGAUUAAGACUCGGAAAAGGAAAGUGUUUGCUGGGCAGUUUUACUGGGGCGGUACCCUGCUAAAUUGUAACGCAGGGACACAAAGGUUGGCUUUCUACCGAUGGAAACGGUAGUUUGAAGCGCAAAGGUUUAAGCCAGCUUGACUGUGAGGGAGAUGUCCCGAACAGGUACGAAAGUAGGUCUUAGUGAUCCUCCGAAGCACAAUGGGUGUGCUCGGAGCUUAAUGGAUAAAAGCUACCCCGGGGAUAACAGAGUAGUCGCGCCCGAGCGUCCAUAGCGACGGCGCGGUUCGCUACCUCGAUGUCGGCUCAUCACAUCCUGGCGCUGAAGAAGGUGCCAAGGGUCGGUCUGUUCGCCCGUUAAAGUGAUACGCGAGCUGGGUUCAGAACGUCGUGAGACAGUUCGGACUCUAUCCUGUAGAAGCGUCGGAAUCUUGAGGAGAGCUGGGGACAGUACGAGAGGACCUCCCUGGAGAAAUCCCUAGUGUGCCGGUUUUUGCGUCAGCAGAAACGCCGGGUAGCUACAUUUCUUUGUGAUAACCGCUGAAAGCAUCUAAGUGGGAAGCCAACUCCAAGAUUAGGAUUCCAUAUUAAAUCCCGGAAAGAAUAUCC
rnacentral:rRNA from 1 species